CGAGUUGGUGGCUAGGGUUCCGGCGCUCUCUUUGGGAGCGUGCUGGUCCGAGAGCCACCACCGGCUGGGCGAGAAAUCCCACCGGAUGCACGGCGGGAUAAAAGCCCGGGAGAC
rnacentral:sRNA from 2 species